AACGUCACAUCGCAUCAGUCACAGCAGGAACCGGUGGCGCUUUGCCGCUCUCUCCCCUCUCCUGACCUCUCUGCUGCUUCCUCGUUGUCUGGUCCGCUUUUUUUCCCGCUUUCUGCCUCUCCUUACAUGCCCGCUGCUGCAGAAGUAAAUGCUGUGGUCCUUCUGGAUGGACGUGUGGCAUCCAUCCCGGAGGCCAGAUGGAGGCUGACAGUGCGGUGGCAGGAACGUGGUCAAUACUGCUGUUUAUGUGGAGAAGUUGAAGAAAAUCCACAGGGGAGGAAAAAUGUGAUUCUGUGCUCCUGCAUGCAAUUCAAUGCCCAAGAGAAUCACGUUCACGCUCACAAAAUGUGACAAUAAUUGUGACGUCUUCCACACACGUGCAAACAUAUGAUUACCAAGAGAAGAAUCGUCUGUGCUGUCCUCUCAGUGGGGCAUUCAGAAACCCACAAUUUCAGUCUUAUUAAUGUGUCCUCCUGACUGAUCAGCCCGGAUUGUCUCCUGGCUCCCCAAUCAGGUGCACGGUCCCCAGGCGUCACAAUGUCGUGUACCUGAGGGCCAGGCCACCUCAUAGCUCCGCCCUGUGCAAUAAAAGUCUGCCUGUACUGCA
rnacentral:lncRNA from 1 species